GAGAGAGAGAGUCUUGAGAAAGCAACUUGAGAAAAUAGGCAGUACUUAUUUAUCUCUAGCAGCCUUUAAGCAAAUCGAAACUUCGUUUCACAAACGCAUUUAUUUGUCAAAUCUGAUUUACUGAUGAAUUGGAUCUUGGGCGUGUUGAUUUACUUACUGUUGGUCUGCUUAAGAAAUGGUGACACUCCCUGGAACAAAAUACUCCCGGAGAGGGUCUCACCCUUCCCUCCCGCUGCCCCGACCCAGCGUCACUUGCCCUAGCUCCCUUGCCGGAACCCCCUCCACCCCCCAUAUAAUCACUCAUUCAUUCUGCCGGGCAGCCAGACUCAAUGUUGGUAUGGCGAACACCUAUGCCAGGCGUUCCCGUGUAAUGGAAACCAGUAAGUAAGUUUCACUGUCAUUUAGUCUAAGAAAAAAAAUCUCCUAAUAGUUAACUUCACUCACAAAAUGAGAGCUUCUUCCCCUUGGGAAAGAUGCACGAUUAUUGGAGCAGGCUAGAGCCACCGAGGGGCUUGCCGAGGGUUACUGCAUUGCGCUGGGCUUGGCAAGAGAAUACCCAAGGCUCUGCGUAACUGAGACUUGGUUGCUAUGGUGUAAGAUACAGUUGAAUGCAAAUGCAGGGAGGACUGUGGUCCCUGGGUUACACUGCAUCCCUGAUUCCCAAGUGGUCAGCCCCACCGGCUGUCAGCCGGGCCCUGGGUCUGCAUGGGUGCUGGGGGCAGCCAGUACUUCGGGAUGUGCAGACAGUGCGGCUCUUUUCCUGUGACCUUGCGUGACGGGCGCUCCCUCUGCCUGGCCUCUGUGCUCAGCAGACAGAGCCAGGGUGUGGUCUCAAGUCCCCCUACAGACUAGGAGGAUAACACGUUCUGACAGUAAUCGCGCUGCCAAAGGCCAUCAGCCCCGCUGCAGAGCCCACCCUCCUCUCACUUCUUUCCACCACCACCCCAAACCAGGCAUAAGUUGGAAUUUCUUCCCUUUGCUCCAGGACCUGAGGCUGAGGGGCAAAGAUGCAGGUGUCAGGGCGAGCUGGUGAUGGGGUGUUCAGCACAGAUUAUGUAGCUGGGUCUGGCCUCUUGUGGGUGAUGAGCGGAGCACUGCCGAGUCUACUUCCGUGACUGGGCCGCGGAGAAGGAGAACUUUCUCGUCUUGGAACGUGGCAAUUCUGUGUCUGCUCAGCCGCGACUCCCCACCCUCACCUCAUCCCAGGGAAUCACUUCAUUUGUAAGAGGACCAUGGAGUCAAGCCGUGCUCUAUUCUGCUGGUGGCAUGACCUGGGGCAGCCACUUUACACCACAGAGCUUCAGUCUCUGUCCAGAAGCAUGCUAACACCUCCGUCCUUACUGGACACUCCCGUGCACCCAGUGAGCUCAUGCGUGUUCAGUUCCAUGUCCUGCGUACCUUAGGUGGAUAAUGCAUGUGUGUUUCUCAUAGUUUUCCUCCUGAAGGGACUUGAUAUCCUGCCUCUAAGACCACGGCUGAUCGCUUCAUUUGGGCCCACGACUCCACAUUCAUAUUUAGCCCACUGCCUGUCUCUUCUCUAGUUUCCCAGAAGCCUGCGGACACCCUAUAGUAAUUCGUCAUGUUGAGAGAUGAGUCUCACAAGAAAACAGUAUUCUCAUGUGGAGUAAG